rnacentral:rRNA from 1 species
AAAGGUGGAUGCCUUGGCACUGGAGCCGAAGAAGGACGUAGCAAUCUGCGACUAAGGGCCUCGGGGAACUGAUAAGCGAGUUUUGAUCCGAGGGUGUCCGAAUCGGGAACCCCGCCAGCGCGUGCGUACCUGGUGACUCCCGCCUGAAUAUAUAGGCGGGUAGAGGGAACGUGGGGAAGUGAAACAUCUCAGUACCCACAGGAAGAGAAAGCAACAGCGAUUCCGUGAGUAGUGGCGAGCGAAAUCGGAAGAGGCUAAACCUAGCGUGUGUGAUAGCCGGCAGGCGUUGCAUGUUGGGGGUUGUGGGACUUUUCGGAUUGUUCUGCCGAGCAGUCGACGUGACAAGAGGGUAUAGACGAACGGUUUUGAAUGGCCGGUCAUAGAGGGUGCGAACCCCGUAGUCGAAAUGCUUGUUCUUGGCGUGAAGAG